rnacentral:rRNA from 1 species
AAAGAUGAAAAGAACUUUGAAAAGAGAGUUAAAUAGUACGUGAAAUUGUUGAAAGGGAAACGAUUGAAGUCAGUCAUGCUUGCAGGGAAUCAGCAAUGGUGGUUUAUUCUUCCUUGUGCACUUUCUUGCUUGGCAGGUUAGCAUCAAUUUCGAUUGUCAUUAAAGAAUUGGGGGAAUGUGGCUUCUUCGGGAGUGUUAUAGACCCUGGUAGAUGUG